UCUUCAGGGAAGAUGCUUGUUGAGAUUUCGGACUAAUAUUCUACCUCUGCAUAUCUAUACGCACUCCAUUGACCCGGCCAGUGGCAGAGCAAGUUGCCUGAAUAAGACUGCAUAUAUGUCUCUAUCCCCGCAACGUUGACAUGACCAGUGGGAGAGCAACUUGCCUCAAGAGAUACUCACAUGAUAAAUAGGCGUGCAAGCCUCGAGCCAGGGCACAUCAGCGAUCGAUCGAUCAAUUUUUCUUCUCCCUAUAGCUGGCUGGAGAUAGAGGAUGGCACUUCGUCCACGCUCGUCUCUGCGCUCCCUGAUGCUGCUCAUGUCGCACGGGAAGCCGCGACUGAGUUCUUUCUCCACCUCCGCCCCCGCUGCUGUUCCGCCCACUCCGGCCGCUCCUGAGGUUCAGCCUCCAGCCGCUCCAGCUCUGCCAGGCUGCUCAAUUCACAAGUCUCCUGAUCAUGAAGGAUUGGUUCUGUACGACGUCGACCAAGAUCCUAAACACCCAAUUCCUGAUUGUGGUUCAUAUACAAGCACCACUGAACCUGAAUGUGGCCCUGACAAGCCUCGGCUGAUACCCGGCCUGGGCAACAUACCAAUAGUCCCACUCCCUGGUCCGUAAGGUGUUAAGGUGGGAUCCCGGUGGGAUCUCACUUCUAGUUUAAAAUUUUGUGUUAAAAGCAUAAACUAAAAAAGAAAAAUGUACUACGAAGGUAGGAUCCCACUUGACACCCUACUCCUCCGAAUGCCCAAACUUAAAGUUGUAAUGUCGAUCCUUUACUGUGUGUGCGUGUUAUAUACUGUACACUUUGUUUCUUAAUGUUGUUGUAAUGUGAUGAAUAUAUCCUUGUUCUGCUUGUAA